GAUGAACGCUGACAGAAUGCUUAACACAUGCAAGUCUACCAAGAAUCACUUCGGUGAGGAAUGGUGGCGGACGGGUGAGUAACGCGUAAAUAAUCUGCCCUUUAGACUGGGAUAUCCUUUGGAAACGAAGGUUAAUACCGGAUAUUAUGAGAUGGACGCAUGUUCAACUUAUGAAUGCUAAAUGCACUAGAGGAGGAGUUUGCGUCCCAUUAGCUAGUUGGUGAGGUAAAGGCUCACCAAGGCCACGAUGGGUAGCCGGCCUGAGAGGGUGAACGGCCACAAGGGAACUGAGACACGGUCCUUACUCCUACGGGAGGCAGCAGUGGGGAAUAUUGGACAAUGGACCAAAAGUCUGAUCCAGCAAUUCUGUGUGCACGAUGAAGGUCUUCGGAUUGUAAAGUGCUUUCAGUAGGGAAGAAAAAAAUGACGGUACCUACAGAAGAAGCGACGGCUAAAUAUGUGCCAGCAGCCGCCGCAG
rnacentral:rRNA from 1 species